UUACUAUAUUCACAUUGAGUUUGAUCAAGCUGUGUAGACCCUUAGGAGCUUUUCAUGUGGUUAAAUUAAGAUAUUCACUUGCACACAUCUACUACACCAUCCACCACCAUUCAUUAAAAUUGCUAAAAAUAUUAUCACUCACUGUCCCAAAUGUUGUUAUUCUCUCUCUCUAAAAAGAUUCAAUGCAGAAGAGGCAUGGUUAUGCAAAAAUAUGCGAGGAAAUAAAAAGGGGCAAGUGCCCGGAACCUCAAAAAAGAAAGAAAAAGAGUGAGACG
rnacentral:lncRNA from 1 species